UACAGAGGUCCCAAGCGUUGUCCGGAUUUACUGGGCGUAAAGGGUGCGUAGGUGGCGGGGUAAGUCUGGUGUGAAAGCUCCGAGCUCAACUCGGAAAAGCAUUGGAAACUAUCCCGCUUGAGGGUCGGAGGGGAGACUGGAAUUCUCGGUGUAGCAGUGAAAUGCGUAGAUAUCGAGAGGAACACCAGUGGCGAAGGCGAGUCUCUGGACGACUCCUGACACUGAGGCACGAAAGCUAGGGGAGCAAACAGG
rnacentral:rRNA from 1 species